rnacentral:rRNA from 1 species
UACGUAGGGGGCAAGCGUUGUCCGGAAUCAUUGGGCGUAAAGAGCGUGUAGGCGGCCCGAUAAGUCCGCUGUGAAAGUCCAGGGCUCAACCCUGGGAUGCCGGUGGAUACUGUCGGGCUCGAGUCCGGAAGAGGAGUGUGGAAUUCCUGGUGUAGCGGUGAAAUGCGCAGAUAUCAGGAGGAACACCGAUGGCGAAGGCAGAUCUCUGGGCCGUAACUGACGCUGAGGAGCGAAAGCAUGGGGAGCGAACAGG